GACGAACGCUGGCGGCGUGCCUAAUACAUGCAAGUCGAACGCAGUGGGGACGGGUGAGUAACACGUGGGUAACCUCCCAUCAGAGGGGAUAACACUUGGAAACAGGUGCUAAACCGAUACUGAUGGAUGGAACCGCGGUGCAUUAGCUAGUUGGUGAGGUAACGGCUCACCAAUGCCACGAUGCAUAGCCGACCUGAGAGGUUGAUCGUCCACACUGGGCUGUAGACACGGCCCAGACUCCUACGGGAGGCAGCAGUGGGGAAUCAUCGGCAAUGGACGAAAGUCUGACCGAGCAACGCCGCGUGAGUGAAGAAGGUUUUCGGAUCGUAAAACUCUGUUGUUAGAGAAGCGGUAUCUAACCAGAAAGCCACGGCUAACUACGUGCCAGCCGCCGCGGUAAUU
rnacentral:rRNA from 1 species